rnacentral:rRNA from 1 species
AGAGUUUGAUCCUGGCUCAGGACGAACGCUGGCGGCGUGCUUAACACAUGCAAGUCGAGCGGAAAGGCCCUUCGGGGUACUCGAGCGGCGAACGGGUGAGUAACACGUGAGUAACCUGCCCUUGGCUCUGGGAUAAGCCCGGGAAACUGGGUCUAAUACCGGAUAUGACUACAGGCUGCAUGGUCUUGUGGUGGAAAGAUUUUUCGGCUGGGGAUGGACUCGCGGUCUAUCAGCUUGUUGGUGGGGUGAUGGCCUACCAAGGCGACGACGGAUAGCCGGCCUGAGAGGGUGACCGGCCACACUGGGACUGAGACACGGCCCAGACUCCUACGGGAGGCAGCAGUGGGGAAUAUUGCGCAAUGGGCGGAAGCCUGACGCAGCGACGCCGCGUGGGGGAUGAAGGCCUUCGGGUUGUAAACCUCUUUCACCACCGACGAAGCUAACGUGACGGUAGGUGGGGAAGAAGCGCCGGCUAACUACGUGCCAGCAGCCGCGGUAAUACGUAGGGCGCAAGCGUUGUCCGGAAUUAUUGGGCGUAAAGAGCUCGUAGGCGGUUUGUCGCGUCUGCCGUGAAAACCCGAGGCUUAACCUUGUGGCUUGCGGUGGAUACGGGCAGACUAGAGGUAGGUAGGGGAGAAUGGAAUUCCCGGUGUAGCGGUGAAAUGCGCAGAUAUCGGGAGGAACACCGGUGGCGAAGGCGGUUCUCUGGGCCUUACCUGACGCUGAGGAGCGAAAGCGUGGGGAGCGAACAGGAUUAGAUACCCCUGUAGUCC